GAUGAACGCUGGCGGCGUGCCUAAUACAUGCAAGUCGAGCGUACGGACGAGAAGCUUGCUUCUCUGAUGUUAGCGGCGGACGGGUGAGUAACACGUGGAUAACCUACCUAUAAGACUGGGAUAACUUCGGGAAACCGUAGCUAAUACCGGAUAAUAUUUUGAACCGCAUGGUUCAAAAGUGAAAGACGGUCUUGCUGUCACUUAUAGAUGGAUCCGCGCUGCAUUAGCUAGUUGGUAAGGUAACGGCUUACCAAGGCAACGAUGCAUAGCCGACCUGAGAGGGUGAUCGGCCACACUGGAACUGAGACACGGUCCAGACUCCUACGGGAGGCAGCAGUAGGGAAUCUUCCGCAAUGGGCGAAAGCCUGACGGAGCAACGCCGCGUGAGUGAUGAAGGUCUUCGGAUCGUAAAACUCUGUUAUUAGGGAAGAACAUAUGUGUAAGUAACUGUGCACAUCUUGACGGUACCUAAUCAGAAAGCCACGGCUAACUACGUG
rnacentral:rRNA from 1 species